ACCUGAGCCGAAGGCAGACGCCUAAUGACUGAGCCACCCAGGUGCCCCUACUGUCUGUAGAUUUUUGAAAAUGGUUACAGGUACACAGGUAACCAAAGUAUAGAGCUUGUUUGGUGAAUCUUCAUCCUAGUUACAUUUUCUGGACAACGACACAUGGAUAUAGUAUGGACCAUUCCUUAUUCCUUUGGCCCAGACAGCUUUGUGGAGCCUGGUGUCAGUGUGCACAUCUGGAAUUCCCAUCUCCUUCAUGGCAAAUUUCUGGAUCUCUUUGGGGCAUGCUUCUUGAAACCCACUCCAUGGAUGUGCUUGUGGAUAUUGAUGGUGUAUUCUCUCAUCACUACCUCAUUGAUGGCAGAAUGGCUCUUCUUCUUCUUGCCACCCUUCUUUGCAGGAGCCAUUCUGCUGGGCUCAAGUUGGAGAGGAAAGAUAGAAACUUAAAUUUGAUUGUGGGGCACCUGGGUGGCUCAGUCAGAUAAGCGUCUGCCUUUGGCUCAGGUCAUGAUCCUGGGAUCCUGGGAUCGAGCCCCGAAUCGGGCUCCCUGCUCAGCAGGGAUCCUGCUUCUCCCUCUCCCUCUGAUCCUCCCCCCAUUCAUGCUGUCUCUCUCUCUCAAAUAAAUAAAUAAAUACAUCUUAAAAAAAUUAAAAAAAUAAAUUUGGUUGCAUACAAAAACUCUACUCUUUCAUUCCCCCUCAUUUUUUGGUUUUGAUGUCACAAUUUAUAUCUUUUUUAUAGUGUGUAUCCAUUAACAAAUUAUUGUAGCUAUAAGCUACAACAAUUAUAAGCUUUAAUAUUUUUGUGCUUUAACAGACAUAAGCUUUGAUACUUUUGUCCUUUCACCUUUAUACUGGAAUUAAGUGAUUGACACACUAUCAUAUUAUAAUAUUAGACUAUUCUGAAUUUGACUGUAUAGUUACCUUUACCAAUGUAUAUUUUAAUAUAUUUUCAGGUUAUUAAUUAGUGUCCUUUCAUUUCAGCUUGAAGACAUCUCUCAGUAUUUCUUAUAAGGUGCAGCAGGUGGACGGACUUAGGGAGCUGUUCAGUAUCAAGGAAAUGUUUGGGCCAGGACCGUCCCAUUUCGGGGUGGUACAAGAAAUCCACAGAUUGUCUUCCACUUAGACGCAUGACAGAUCUGUGCUGAAUGCAUACCACCUACCCAGCAGACACAGCCUCAGUGAUCUAAUCAUGGAGACAGAGUUCAGCAGAGGUGCAGCUCUUGCCUAUGGACACAUGUUGCAAAGGACCGGAAGGCGGAUGUUUCCUGGGCCACAGCCUGGCUAUUUCGAGGGUUCCUGUUGUCCCAGCUGAUGCCUUCUCUGGGAGUGGACCUUCAGCUCUGGAAAGGAGCAAGCCCGAAAUUUUUUUAUUUAUUUUUGACAGAGAGAGAGAGCACAAGCAGGGGGAACAGCAGAGAGAGAGGGAGAAGCAGACUCCCUGCUGGAACAGGGAGCCCGAUGCGGGGCUCGAUCCCAGGACCCGGACCCUGGGACCAUGACCUGAGCCGGAGGCAGACGCUUAACGACUGAGCCACCCAGGCGCCCCCGUUUUUCCUGUCUUACAUGCAUAUAUGGUGCCUGGAGUUAUAGCUGCCAUCUUGGAGCCAUGAUAGAAAGGCCGAGAAUCACACAGACAGUAGCCUUACAUUUCUGAGCUACUGAGCCCCUGCGAGCAACCACUAACCUUCAGACUUCUAGUAAGAUAAAUCCAUCCCUGUUUGAAACACAAAUCAAAACCACGAUGAGAUACCACCUCACACCAGUCAGAAUGGCUAAAAUUAACAAGUCAGGAAACAACAGAUGCUGGUGAGGAUGUGGAGAAAGGGGAACCCUCCUACACUGUUGGUGGAAAUGCAAGCUCGUGCAGUAACUCUGGAAAACAGUAUGGAGGUUCCUCAAAAAGCUAAAAAUAGAACUACUCUAUGAUCCAGCAAUUGUACUCCUGGAUAUUUACCCAAAGGAUACAAAAAUAUACACUCAAAGCUGUGUAUGUCUGAAGCUUAUAGGAGCAUUAUCAACAAUAGCCAAACUAUGGAAAGAGCCCAAAUGUCCAUCAACUGAUGAAUGGAUAAAGAAGAUGUGGUAUAUAUAUACAUUGGAAUAUUACUCAGCCAUCAAAAAGAAUGAAAUCUUGCCAUUUGUAACGAUGUGGAUGGAACUAGAGAGUAUUAUGCUAAGCGAAAUAAGUCAGAUGGAUAAAGACAAAUACCAUAUGACUUCACUCAUAUGUGGAAUUUAAGAAACAAAGCAGAUGAACAUUCCGGGGGGAAGAGAGAGAGGGAAACAAAUCAUAAGAGACUCUUAACUAUAGAGAACAAAAAUUGAGAGUUGAUGGAGGGAGGUGGGUGGGGGAUAGAUGGGUGAUGGGCAUUAAGGAGGGCACUUGUUAUGAUUAGAACAGGAUGUUACAUGUAAAUGAUGAACCAUUGAACUCUAUUUCUGAAACUGACACUCAACUGUUAUGUCAACUAACGAGAAUUUAAAUAUUUAAAUAAAAGAAAAAAAAAACGAUAAAUCCAUCCCUGUUCCUUUAAGCCACUUUGGUUGGGUUUUCUAUUAUUUGAAGUUGACCUCAAUCCUAUCUGAAAUGCAUCAUCUAAAAGACUUCAUAUGGCCCAAUAGACAUAGAUGCACAUCCUUGUCGGUCAUCUUUCCUACAGACUGAACCCUACAUAAUUCCCCAGCAAGACACUGAAUGUUGCCUACACUUUCCUGUGUGGUCUCAACUGUAGUAACACUGUCUCUGUAAAUGCAUUUAUGCUUGUGAAACCACAUGUCCUGGUGUGUGUGUGUGUGUGUAUGUGUGUGUGUGUGUGGUGGGAAGACAAUAAUAAAAUUAGUUUCUCUUAGUUCAAUAUUAGUUGGAAGAAUAAAGUUACUGCACCUUCCCAUGUUAGCUUCUUCACAAGACAGAUUUUUCAGCUAUAGUCCAGCUCAUCUGCUCCUCUUAAGUCCCUCUGCCAGAAACACAAAGGACGGGCAGAAGUACACUGAAUGGGGUGAACAAACGGAGCUUCUAUAAAUAAGAAGUAGCUUCUAUAAAACAGUGGUUCUAACUCCAGAAGUUUCUUUAUAAUCGCAGCUCAGUUCAUGCACAAUAUUUUUAAUGAGACUCAGUUU